ACUAUUAUAACAUGAAAGAAGCUGAACCACAAAAAAUUAAAUAUAUUUUCUUAAAAAUUCAUAUUGAACAUCAAUUUUAUCCACUCAGACAUCUAUUUAUGUUUCAUAAGUUUGUGGCAAGAUAGGAAUGAUGGAGAAAUUCUUUCAACAUUUCCCUUCACCAAAAUUGAACCUGACAAAACAUAAAACAUAUGUCAACAGUCAUACUUAUAUGAGAAAAAUCAAAUUGAUGUUAGCUAUAUUUGGAAUUCAGAAUUUGAAAUAAUAAAAACUAUUUUUGUUAAAUUUGUUCCUUGAUGAAAUUUCUUGUUAUUUAUUAUUGAGAAAUGGUAUGAAAAAGGAGGAUAGUGGACCUCACUUAAUUUCAACCUUGUUGAAAUCUUUUUCGUUGUCCAGUUAACUUUGUUAAGACUCUUUCUUCAUAAAAAUAGUUUCUACCCAUUUGAUAUACCAACUGAGAUUGCAAAAUUGACAAAUUUAGACUUAUUUCUACAAUUGUUUCAAUAAUUGCAAAUUUAUAUUUGUUUCUCCCAAAUGACUAUCUUUUUGAAGACACACUUGAAUCUUAGAUUAUAUAAUAACACCUUGAUAGAAAAGUCAGUUUUAAUGUCAUAUCCUUAAUUGUUUACUAAUGUAAUUUCACAUCUUCAAUGUCAAGAUGUGACCUCAUAUUCACUUAGGCCCUUAAACUAAGGCUUGUACCUAUCAGACCCCUUAAGUGCUAAAAUUGAUAUCAAUCUGACACAAAAUGCUGAUUUGGCAAGGAGAGUGUAACACACUCUCCUUGGACGCGUGAAUUGAAGAAAAAAAUAAUAACAUUUUACUUUUUUUUAAUUAAAAAAAAUUAUAUUUAAAUUAUUUUAUUAAUAUAAUUUUAAAUUAUCCUAAUUUCUUAAUUUUUUUUAAAAAAAGGAAACCCCCCCUCUUCAGCGUCUUCUUCACACAACACCCCUCCCCCCUUCUUCACACAACCCUCCUUACCCUUCAUUUCAAAGUCUUUCUUCACACCCCUCUUUUCAGCGUCUUCUUUACACAACCCCCUUCUCUCGUAUCGUCUUCUACACACACACCCUUCUCAUUGUCUUCACACCCUCCUUCAUUCUUGUCGUCAUCACACACUCCACCCCCCGUAACGUCAUCUUAUAUAUAUACACACAUAAAGAGAUUGGGAAUGAACAACCAAAGGAAUUUCAUCAGAUUAAAUUAAAAAAAAAGAACAUUGAAAAUCAAUAGAGCAAAUUGGAGAGGAUGUGAGAAAAAUUUCUUUCUAUUUUUACAAAAUCAGUUAAAGAAAUCUUCUUUUCAUUUAUUAAUGGAGUUGUUGAUUUAACAAUAAUUAUGUGUGUAUUGCUGACUCUGUGCGUAUGUGUGCAGACGACGGGGGGAGGGAUGUGUGAAGGAGACGACUCUGUGUGUGUUGCUGAUGUUGUUAAUGGAGUUGCUCUGUGUGUGUGUUGAUGAUGUUGUUAAUGAAGUUGCUCUGUGUGUGUGUUGCUGAUGUUGUUAAUGGAGUUGUUGUAUGUGUAUGUAUUGCUGAUGUUGUUAAUGGAGUUACUGUGUAUGUGUGUAUUAUUGAUGUUGUUAAUGAAAUUGAUGUGUGUGUGUGUAAAGACGAUGGGGGAGGGGUGGGGUGAAGAAGACGACUGGGUGGGUGCUGGGGUGUUUUUUUUCUUUUUUUUUUUUUAAUUGAGAUUAUUGUUAAAUAGAUAAGUAAAUAGAAAAAAAUAAAAAAAUCAGUAAUUCCACGUAUUAUUUUUUUUGUCACGUGUUUUUUCUAAUUGACAAAUUUUACCACGUCAGGCGAGUGUAUUACACAUACUUUAUACCUGUUGCUGAUUAGGCAAAAAAUGUUCAAUUGGAAUAAAAUUCGGGAGAUUUAGGGGUUUGAUAGGUACAUGCCUUAGUUUAGGGGUCUAAGUGAAUUUUCGGGAGAGGUCUAAGUGAAUUUUCGGGACAAGUUUGAGGUCCUAUCGAUGGGUUUCUAAUUGACUAAUUUUGCCACAUCAGGCGAGUGUAUUACACAUACUUUAUACCUAUUGCUGAUUAGGCAAAAAAUGUUCAAUUGAAAUAAAAUUCGGGAGAUUUAGGGGUUUGAUAGGUACAUGCCUUAGUUUAAGGGUCUAAGUGAAUUUUCGGGACAAGUUUGAGGUCCUAUCGAUGGGUUUGGCCUUUAUAUUAAUUUUAAAGGAAUUAUAGUUUAUUCCAAGAUAUUCAAAUGCUUAAUGAAAAGUAUUUUGCUUCCGAAUGCACCUAUUUUAAUAUGGAUAAGAUGAUAAAAAGAGCAACCUACAAAUUUCUGGCUUGGUUCUAUGCGCAACAGACAUUGAACACCACUGGUUAUUGUAUGGCAAACUUCAAAGGUUGUUUACCACUACUGAGAAUAGGACUCUCUCUCCAUGCAACCUUUACAAACUACUCCUGAUGAAUCUAUAUCACAUCUAUCUAAAAGCACACUUUCACGCUUCAAAUUAAGUGUCCGACCUCUCAUUUUCAUGUGACCAAACUUCCAAUGCAGCCCCCACCCCCACCCACUUAAACAAAAAAAGAAGAAGUUCAUGACAUGUUACUAAACUAUCCAAUACAGAAGAUAAAAAAGAAUUAUCACCUUUAAGAAGUGUGAAAACUUUUAUUUCCAAUUUGAACAUCUUUUUUUUGAGAUAGCUCAAAAGUUGGUCAUAUAAUAAGUUUCAAAGGAAUCACUAUCAAACUUCUGCCUUUAAAUCUUAUCAAAAGAUAAAACUUAUCACCUGAAACUAUGGACAAUUUAAGAGAUAGUUGUUUGCGUUCAAACACCAGCUAAAAACAAAAAACUAUCAAAUUUUAGUUAAAAUUAAUAUUUUUUUAAAUAGUGGCAUUUAAAUGAAAAAAGGGACCUAAAGUGUGAAAUGUUUAAUUAAGCUCCUGCCGAAGUUCUAUUAUAAUUCUACUAAUGGUUCUAUUAUCGAAAUUCCCCAUAAAUCUUAUAUUGCUCUUGCUCAGGAUGGAAACAUACUGUUAUUAUGUGUCCGAAGUAUCGGACCAAUGAUCCCCCAUGACUUCUUUAACGUGUCCUUAGGUAUCGUCCCAAACCAUAAAUUAUUUACUCAUGAAAGUUGACAGCAGCCGAAGAAUCGUUACCCGCUAGUAUGAAAGACCUAAAUGGACAGACUAAAGAAAAUCCUAAUCCUUAACAUGAUUGGUCCUACCAAGACCACGUGCAGCAACAUCAGUGGAAAUCAUUAUAGGACUUCUGCCACUUUUAAAAUCAGUCGGCACCCAAUCUCUCUCAUCCUGGCUUUUAUCACCAUGAAUGGAUAAAGUUGGCCAUCCAUCCAUUCUCAACUCUUUGAUCGAAUUAUAAUUUGGGGCACUCAUAGAAAACUAAUAAACUGUAAAAGAAUUAAAAGAAAAAAUUAUAAAUGAAUAAUUGAUGAUCAACCCAAAAGCCUUUUAAUCUGCAAGAGACAGAAGAGAAAAUAAAUAAAAUUGACGAAUAGGACUUAUUGAUUUUUGUCGAAAAUUCAUAUAUAUAUAUAUAUAUGACAGAAACUUAUUACAAUUGUCGAAAUAGACGAGCAAAGUAUAGAAUUCAAAAAGCAGCUUCAUUGGAUUUUCCCGACAAAAUCAGCAGAGUUUUAUGUUCCAAAUUUUACACAAGAGAAGCAAACUCAGUAGUAUUAUGCAAAAGCAUAGCAUAUACGUAUGGACCAAAUCAUCAUCAACACAUAUGAAACAUUUCGAUUCUACCUCUCAACUUAACAACAACAACAAAGCAAUGAUUUCUUCACUUGCUUCCCUUUUCUUCUCAAACCCUCGCCCUUUUUGCCCUCCUCUAAACCAAUUUCAAUUCCCAUCUCAUUUUUCCUCUUUGCACACUCAAUUUCUCAGCCAAAUCUACCCAACCCACUCCGUUGCCUCCUCAUCCUCCAAAGUCACGCGGAGAAGAAGUCAUUUGUUGUGGCAACGGGAUCGACACACAUAGAAGUAAGGAGAUUUUUUCUUUCCAAAACUUUGAACUACAAAUAGAGAAAUCUAAGGAAUUGCAUCCUUUCCAAAUCUCACGAGCAUUUUAUACUGCAUAUUAUCUUUGGCAACAACUUAUUGGCAUAGACCAUUAAUGGAGCACUUGGAUAAGAAGAAAAAAUCUAUCUAUACAAAGAAAAGGAAUAAAAUGAGUGUCUAAAUACUUGUAAAUACCUGGCAGAUACGUUUUCUGGAAAGCAAUUUCUCAAAUUUUCAUGGUGCACAACUCGUAUCUAUAGCCACUACUUUAGUCCAUAAAAAUCCCAUCAGAUUGACAUAAAACCCAUCUUCCUCUUCUGAUAUGAAAUCAAAUUUUGCUUUGCUAAAAAAGUAGAAAUUGGACCACAAAAUUAAUUUGUUAGGAAAAACCUAAUGAAUUUUCAGUGAUCGAAAAAGAAAUUGUGGAAAGAAAAUUCAUUUUUUUUGAAAAUCAAAGGAGUGUCUUGCUUAUGAACUAAAGCGACGUUUUUUUUUGUGAAAGAACGGUAGAGAGGUUUUCUCAUAGUAAAAU
rnacentral:lncRNA from 1 species